UCUAAUCACAGUACACAGACAAACACACAUGGUCAAACAGUUAAAUCUCUCAUGGAUCAAAGAUGGGUGUUUUUUCCACUUUUCACUGAGAUGUGUCCCGGUUGCUAAAGAAACGCUUGUGAAGUGUGUUUCCCCGCUGAGAUUUUUAAAUGAGUUCGACAGAGGUCCUGCUGUAGGUGUGCCUGUUCGCGCCACGCUAACAUCAGCCUGAGCUUUUCAGAACAGGAACCUCUCCCUCCCUGGCUGCUUCUACUUCCAACUAUUCUCCGUCUUUCAUUCCCAACCACUCUUUUUAUCUUUAUUACCCUCCAUCUAUCCCUCUUCCUCACUCUCUCCCCUCCACCCUCGUCUGACCGUGAAUGAAUGCUCUCUGACUAGUGGAACAUAUGCUGCUGGUUGUUCAAUACCCUCCCUCUGAGCGGGGGCACAUCCACGCAUGUGUGUGUGUGUGCGUGUGUGUUCAUUGAAACAUACGCCUCCUGUUGCACAUCGGCCAUCUGUUCCUUGAAUGGACUGAUGGAGUGCUGCUGUAACCAUGACUAUAGGCCAUUCAGUCAAACUGCCCCUGCCUCCCUCUCUUUCUCUCUGUUUCUCUCUGUGUUUGUGUGUGUUUAUGUUUAGGAAUUGGCUGGCAGAGUGGAGGAAUUCCCACAUGUUGAUAAAAGGAUGCUGACCUUCCACGGCGACCUGCUCCUACUUUAUCCAGUCCUCCUUUGGUCUCCACAUUCACAGAGAUUUGUUUUUACUGUAGCUGAGGAAGCAGUACCCAUCGCCCAGCUGGAGCACUUAUAAACCCCAGAGAAAGGGAAGCACAAAGUAAUCAGAGAGCAACGCUGGAAAACACGAGAUGACCGUCGGAUAGACUUCCUCUGAAGUGCAGAUGGGUCACACGCAUGGGGCCCGGGUUAACGGGCCGGCAGGUUGGGGAGGUGGAGAUCACAAGGUCACGGCAAAAGGUCAGGAUAACUGGGAAGUCCUCAAGCUCAGCGGAGGCCCACUCGUCUGAUGCUGCUUCUGCGGAAACUCCUGAACAAAUAAAUCUGCCUCGGUUUCACAUUUUAUAGGUAAAAAUUACCACAGAUUGACUGUCAGGAAAACAUUUUAUAAUGUUUGGAGCUCUUUAGCAUCUGAUUUUAAGAGCAGCAAAAUAUUUACUUCACAGCUGAAGAGCUGGCUGAACCAGAACCGUUCUCGCUUUUAAAUGUAAUUCUUUUGAUUCAGUAGCUUAAAUAUGUUGUUUCAUGUCAUGUUUUUAUGGUUUUAUUGUAUUUACUGUUUCAUUCAAACCAACUGUUAAAGCUCCUUCUAGAGAUUUAGCUUUGGUUAUAAACUCUGGCUACAUUUCCAUCACUAAUAUGAGCAAAUCUUUGUUUAUAUUCUGCUAAUGUUGAAAAAAAAAAAACCUCAACUGCUGUGUUUCCAUUAAAUGAAAUUAAAA